UUUUAGGCAUAUUUUAAAGAGUUUAUUAAAAAUGCAUUAUUUUUAAAAUAGCAUUGUUUAAUAUAAUUUUCAAAAGCUUAUUACAAAAUUUGUUGGUUCAAUUUUAGAUGGCCUUCUGCGAAAAAACUUUAUGACAAGCAGUCUAAAGAAUAUGAGCAAAAGGAAUCUGGAGAAAGCAAACAGAAAAAAAAGAAAAUCUUUAAUUUUGUGAAAACAGGCAUGAAUUGUGCGAGACAAUUACGGAAAAUUUUAUCUUAAUCAUCGUUAUAGUAAUUUGAUAGACAAUUUUACAGAUUUGCCAAGGAUAUAUAAUUUAAAACAAUUUUUGUCUGUUCAUGAGAUACAUAAACCUAAAAAUUUAAUAAUCAACUUUUUAUUACUUUUCUCCGAUCAAACUGACAUGAAUUUUGAUUAUAAGUUGCAUAAUGAUUCGACCAUCGGUUCUAAAAAUUUUAUAUUAUGUUUUUUUUUUUUUUCAAUGACGAGCUUAAAUACUUGCUUAAUGAACAAUCUUCACGGUAAGAUUUUCAUUAUAAAUUAUAAAUUAAAGUGGUAAUAAAUUUUAUAGAUUAAUAAACUUAUUGCAUAGUUAAUAUGUCAAUUUUUCAAAGGAAUUAGUUGCGAUCUAAACGAAAAAUAUUGCAAAACAAAAUUAUUUCACUAUAUGAGGCAAUCUUUGGUGAGGAGGAAAUGGAGGAUCUAUAAAGGACGAUCUCCUGAAGAACAGCUUUUUGAAAGGAUUGCUACUAUCAUGGCACAAUGGGCUCAACCUGAAAAGUAUGUUUUUUACUCGGAUGUACAAGCGUCAUUAGAUAGUAUUGCACAAGAUGUAUUAAAGUGUCUCAGACAAAAAUAUCCCGAUUAUUCGAUAUUCUUGACGUCCACUGAAACUGUUUCCUUUUGGAAAAACAACAAUAUCGACGAUAAUUAUUGGAACGAAACAGAAGGAACUCAGAUUAUAGAUACACUCCAGGAAUAUAUAUGUAACAACUUAAACUUUCGAUCAUGUCCGUUAAAUAAAUAUGACAAUAAGUUGGAAUACAUGUGCAUAGACUAUCGUUGCUAGGAGGCUUGGUCUACGUUGCAAUAUAUUAAAAGUUAUUAAGCCGUCUGGUAUCUACGGUAAAACUAUAUGCUUAUUUUGGAAAUGGAACUAUGUCACGAUUAGUUUAGAAAAUGUAAAAUGUUUUAACGAAAUUCUUGAAAAUUGGACAGAGCAUCCUAUAGAAGAACUGUUAAUUAAUGGGAACACUUUUAAAAUAACAGCUAGUGAGAUAUGGAAAAUGUUGAUAAACAUGUUUGACAAUACGAUAUACCACAUGAUAAAGUUUCUAAAUUUAUUCCACGACACAUUAAUUGUGUAUGGCCUAGGGAACAGGUCUUCGCCGCUGUGGGGAUUUUGGAGACGACGUCUAUCCUUCGGUUGAGAUCCCACCGCUGCCAUCAAUUGUUGUGCCUCUGGUGAGACACGAGAAAAUUUUCGGGUCUCAGCCGUUGAAAGGAUGGGGACUCUAAGGAUCGGCGGGCGUCUCCACUUUUGACGAACUCCAAUUGUUUAGUUGAAUAAAUCUUUUAUUUCUCUUA